CCAGCCAGUUCUGAUGCUGUGGACCUUGUUUUUUCCCCUCAGAUCUUGAUUUCAGUGAUGUUAGUUCUCAUUGGAGCAAGUCAGGGGAGGUUCAAGCCCCAGGUGGUGUUAUGGUGCAGGCAGGAGCAGAGCGGCAUGAGCGUUUACAACAGAGAAAAUGAAGAGUGAGGACAUUCCUGUUGAAAAAUAUGCUACACUGAUUCAUCUUAAGGUCAGAAUUGCUGUACUAAGAAUUCAACCUUCAGAAGAGUAGCCCUGGAUAGUCACAAGACAACACUGAAGAAAUCAGAAAAUGAUAACAAAAGCUGAGAUAAAAUGUUACGUCUUUCAGUCAAAACAUAUUUACCUAAUAGAAGGAUACUCAGUUCCCUUCUGGGCAUUCAAACAACAGUAUCUGAAGAGCUGGUUGGUCUAAACUGUGAGUCAUAAGUCAGAAAACAAUUAUAUCUGACCCAAGCAACUGCCUCCAUGGAAGGUGUUAGAGAGCCACUGAGAAACGCUGGUGUCCUUUGAGCGUAUCAAUACUAUACAUGUGACAGGUUUAGAGAGAUAAGCCAGAAAACAUAGUAUAUAAUCUGUUUCUUUUUGGACAUGUAUCUUUCCUUUUCCUGCUGCAUGCUCUAGAGAUGCACAUUAUGACAGACUUUGUUUUGAUCGUUUUGUUACUCCUUAUAUGAGGUCAAACAGAUCAUUCAGAUGAUAACUUCAAGAAUGAAACUAGCAAGAGAAUUGAAAGAUAAUCCUACUUAAAUGUUUUUGCUUCACUGGAUGCUGCUUGUAACACUCCAGGUUGUUUAAAAAGGACACACACACACCUCCACUUUCUCCCUCCUUCACAUAGCAACAGGAUUCUUUCCUGGGAUAUGCUUUAUACAUUGUAUCUCCUAAUAAAAUUAUUAAAACAUUAUUUGAAAGAAACAAUAUCUAUUGAAACAAC